AACCACUGGAAGUUUCUAGACUUAAUGGAAGACUGGAUGUUUAGAUAUGUAUUACAUCAAAUUCUUUAAGAAAAAAACGACACCAGUACGACACUUUUUGGAUCAACUUUGGGGACAUGCAACCUAUCAAAGAAAUUAUCCUUUAUUAAUGGUCUUUUUCUUGUGUGUGAUGAGGAACUAAAACGAUGACGUUUUAACCAAUACCACAAGGAAGUGCAGCUUGAACUUGGAAAUCAUCACUUAUUUACAUGAGAAGUUGUUUGGACACCUCACGUACCAAAACGAAUGAUAAUACUAUAUCGGUUACUGCAUGGACCAAACCGUAAAACUUCCGGACGAUAUCUAAUAUAUCGAGAUUUAGAAUGCUGACAUAUCCGUUUCAAGAGUUACAAAAGAAAAGGAAUAGGAAAUUCGUCUCCUUUGGAGAUUACAAGUUUGUGGCCGGGAUGUUUUCCAACUGAGGGUUU